rnacentral:rRNA from 1 species
UGGGGAAUCUUGGUCAAUGGGCGCAAGCCUGAACCAGCGACGCCGCGUGAGUGAUGAAGGCCUUCGGGUUGUAAAGCUCUGUGGGGAGAGACGAAAGAAUCGGUUCUAACAGGACCGAAGUUGACGGUAUCUCCUUAGCAAGCACCGGCUAACUCUGUGCCAGCAGCCGCGGUAAGACAGAGGGUGCAAACGUUGCUCGGAAUCACUGGGCGUAAAGGGCGUGUAGGCGGGAAUGUAAGUCGGGCGUGAAAUCCCUAGGCUCAACCUAGGAACUGCACUCGAAACUGCGUUUCUUGAGUAUCGGAGAGGAAAGCGGAAUACCUGGUGUAGAGGUGAAAUUCGUAGAUAUCAGGUGGAACACCAGUGGCGAAGGCGGCUUUCUGGACGAUAACUGACGCUGAGACGCGAAAGCGUGGGGAGCAAACAGG